UAAAUGAGAUCAGGGCUCCUCACUGAAGAGCUUACAGAGUCGCUUCAGCCGAAGUAAUUUAAUGUUACAGAUAAAGGUGAGAAAAUGUUUGUUGUUCCUUUAUUGUGGUUACUGUGCCACAUCUUAUUAGAGAAUGGUUCUUUAUUCUUUCCUACUAGGGUCUAAUUUCCUUUUCAGUCUUCCUCCUGUUUAGUGUGGUGUGUUUGGUGUUGUUUUUUUGGCCUUUUGUGUGUGUGGUCCUCCCCCCUGGCCCUGUUUAGAUUGCUGUGUGCCAACCCUGAUCUGGAAAUGUCAGGUUAGUCUGCCUCUGUCCUUACUGCAAAAUUAAGAGUAAUGUUUCAUUGGCCUUGGUAGUCACCAUUUUGAUAAUUCAAGGCAAAUUACUGUUUUCUCCAGAUUCAUACUAGCUCCCCUGGACUGUUACUGUUAAGUGUGGAAGAGCUUCUCUGUUUCACUUGAUUUUCCUGAAAACGAAGUUGAGAACUAAGCUCCUGGUGCUGGCUGUAGGUCAUUAUGUUAAGGAUUGAAAUGAGCUCUGGAAAUCCAUUGAGAAUAUCUUGGCCAGAGAAGGUUUGCUAGGUGCGGUUCGUGUAGUUCUUUCCUAUCAGUUCUCAGGACAUCAAGGGCACAUACAACAAGAGGGUUCUAACCCUGGAGAGAGACAUGGACUGCUGCCCGGAGUCGCACAGGAGAACGGUCUCACACCACAUGGAAAGAGAGGUGGCGAAGGUCUGAACCCAGCAGCUGCAGGAAUGCUUCACUUGUAUUGACAGCAUUAUUUUUGGCGUGAAGGAGGUUGAUGUCUUCUCUGGGGACUGGUUUUCAUGAGAUGCUGUGUGUUUGUGAUGCUGCAGUUAGGUAUUAAGACUCCUACCUCUCUAUCUGUGCCUCAGGAAGAAGCAUGUUAGGAAACAAGGACUGGACAAAGCUUAAUGGAUCGAUAAGUCAUGUUGCCAUUGCUGUUUCAUAAAACUCUGAUCAAGCUUUAAAAUAGCUAGGAUAUUGGUCUUCACUGCUUUACCUGGAAAUCUAUUCACGGAUGUCGUUGUCCUGAUGGCUGGGAACCUUCGAAUUUCUAGUCUUAGAGGGUUCCAUUUUAGGCAUUUCUUCAUCUACCUGCUUUAAUGUUUAACUUAAAUUAUUCUUUUAGAUCCCUGGUGUCUAUCCUGAAAUGUGUUUAUAGAGAAUGGUCAUAUCCUCCAAUGAGCUUUUCCAAGUUUCUUCUCAUAUAAUAGUCUCUUUGUUCCUCUGUCACUUCUUUCUCUCUGCAUGUUUCAGUCUCACUUAACUUUUAAAAAUAAAAAUAGCCAGAGCUCUACUGAGCAUUCCAGCUGUUUUGACAAAUAUUAAUGUUUUCUAGUUUCCCCUGGAAAUGCCUGGCUUUGAUACUCUCUAGCUGCUCAUUUACCUUUUUUGCAUUUGCAUUGCAUUGGUGGCUCAUCCUGUGACUGGUGACUAAUAUGCCCAAAUUUCUUUUCUCUGUGACAUGUGCAAUUGAUGAGCUAAUAGCUUCCAGCAAAAUUUCCCGUUACUAGUCCUCUAGUGAGCUGAGACAUAUUGAGAGCUGAAUCUGUAAGAGUUGGCUCUGUCGUGUUAGUGACCUAGAUAAUGUUCCUAAUUUUGCUUAUAGCAACUUUGUGGCACUUCUCAGUUACCGUGUCUGUAAAGCUAGGGAAGGGGGUGCUAUAAAUUGUCUACUUUCUUAGUUGGGGAUGAAGUUAGUGAAUUGCAUUGUAAAGGAGUAAACCAAGAGCUCAUGAUGUCCAGAGCUGCAGUAUAGUUAAAGAAAAUUACUGCAAGAAGUGGCACACUCUCAUAUGCAUGAUAUUAAUAAUUUGUACGAAGUGCGUGGUUCUUAGGAAACUUAGAGGUGCUACAAAGGAGGAAUUGAAGGCGUAUGAGGCAUCCCACAGAGGUGACCACUUUCACUACCUUUUACAAACAAGUCCCUGAGCAUUUUCAGAGCUUCAAGGAAAUUUUAGAGUUUUAAUUACCACAGUUUAUGAAGGCUUGUGAUUGAGGACAAGAUGUUUUUCAUUUUGUGUCUAUUUUCCAAUGAAAUGUGAAGAAGUAGAGAUAUUAGCCUCUGGGUACAGCCCUCAGUUGUUUGUUACAGUACCCUUUGAACUUGAGGAGAAUGAAAGAAAAGCUGAACUGAUGAAUAUUAACGAGUUUGGCCUGUGCUCCUCUCAGAUACAGGGAGACACAGCCACUGGAGUAGGAAAGAAGAGGCAGCUGGUGGGCAGGAACAUAAAGGCAAUGAAAAAAUGAGAUCUGUGAAAAUGUCCUUCUAUAUUUAAGUUAGGUUUUCACGGAUGUAUCAGCAGGCACUUAUCAUACCAACGUCACCUUCAGCUGGGGCAUCACUGUAAAUUCAGUUGUGUUUCUGCAAACUUCACCUAAGGCUUAUGUGAUCUUUUUAUGAAAUGAGAAUUCCUUGUGCUGUGCUGCACUGAUGACUGUGUCUGCCCUAUAACUUAUGGACACAAGGGACAACAAUGAUUGAACACUGUUUGUUUAACUUAUUAGUAGUAGUUACCUUAAUUCCUCAGAACAUUACAUCCUGCUACUUAGCAGGCAUUUGUACAGUGCUGUGUAUUUAAAAGACCUUCAGGUUAUAAUUUGAACAAUAAAGUGCACAGCCAAGGCAGAGGGGGGUAGUGAUUGGCAACCAGUGUAAGAUUCAAGUGGGUUUUGGUUUGUUUCGUAUUAAAAUAUUCAAGGUUAGAACCAUUUUAUUUUUUCAAAGAGUAAUAGAAUAUCUGAAGACUCUUCUGCAGGGAAGAGGAUGUAGGAGGUGAAAGGCAGGUAAUUGCAACCACUGAACCUGGCUAGACUGUCGCAAAUGGUGCUGUAAUGUACCAUGUAAAUGAUAUUAAGUGGAAACGUUUUGAAGGGUUAUUGGUGUCAAUUCUCAAGCUCAUCACUUUGUUAAAACUAAGAUACAAAGGCCUGUCUUGGGCAAGGUGUAUAUACUGUUCCUACGAAUCUGAAAUGUUCUAUGUAACUUUCCAAUGCUGAAGCUUGAUAACUGUGCUUUCAUCAACAUCUCCUGUCUAUACAGAAAUAAACAAGUCUACUCAUUUUCUCUUCAGAAUAUGAAGGUUAGGCAAAAAGUUUUGUGACUAAAGAAUUCUAAUGGUAUAAUAUUAAAAUGCCAUUAAAAUUUGACUGGGUAAAUAUCUCAAAAAGUUUUAUCUGCCAUAAAGUUGUGAUUGUGUUCUUUGUCUUUGGUUUAGCGUCACUACUUUUUCACGCUGUCAUUAAUUACCUUCAUAACUAUUCCUUCCGUUGCUUUUACAGCCAAUUUAAAAUUUCAAUUCAUAAAAUUGUGAGACAGAUGAUUGCCCCUAAUUUUGGUUCCACGUUCUCAAAGGUUUUUCAGAGGAACUCACAUGCUUCACAAACAUUGCGCAGUUUUGGCAUAAGUAUCACUUUACACAAUCUCAUUUUUUCUCAUUGUUUUUUUUUUUUUCCCAUUUCGCUAUUUGUAAAUUCACUGAUACCUGGAAGUAGAAACCUGUGUGAUCAAAGCAAUGAGCAGUGCACCUGCAUGUAGAACUCCAGCAUGGUUAUUUUUGUUAGACAGAAAAUAUUUACUAGGAAUCAAAGCACUCUGCGUUAAUAGACCUUGUGUCAUUCUACAGUGUUGCACAGCAGAUGAGAUCUGCAUCCUGAAUUUCCAUGCGAAAGACUAUAUUAGAUAGAAACUUGAAAACUUUACUGGCAGAACCAGUGCAAAGAGCACAUGGAGGCAGAUUUCUCUUUCCCAGCACUAUUUCCUUCUAUGCAAGAGAUUAGGACAUGUAAGCCAGAGGUAGAAAAUAAUAUUUAAGGAAGUCUUUAGGAAGGACAGAUCGCAGUGGGGUUUAAUUAUUUUAAUAUUGAUUGGAUAACUGGUUACCUAAAUAUUGUGGUGGGAAUAUGUGUUUCUAAACAAGAAAGUUGUAUUAAUCAUCAGUAUACUGAAGAAAAAGCAGAACCUGUUGCUUGAUUCUUCACAGAUGUUAAGGGUCUAUGACACCUAAUGCAAUGAUAUGUGGAAAUGCAGACUGCAUUUUAAAUCCAUGUGUGUAUAUGACACUUGAAAAACAGCCAUGGGGAAGUUGCAGCUGAACAGUUUGUAAAACAAGGAGGGGAACUUAAGCACACUUUUAGAUCAACAUAGAAAACAGGUAUGAAAACAAUUUAAUGUUUGUGUAAUGCACUUGCAUCAUUGGUUUGUAUAACCCGUUCCUUGGAGAUGGUAGUAUUUAUUACUAAAUGUGUGUAUUACUAUAUACCCUAUGUAUAAAUAAAAAAGAAUUUUAUCUGUGCGUA